CUGGGGCCGGGCCCGGGGGCGCACUCACCGAACGCGUCCCGGGCCGGGGCUGGGGCCGGGGCCGGGGCCGGGC
rnacentral:miRNA from 1 species